AAAAAACCUACUGAGCGUCCAUAAAGAAAGCAAGAAUUUUGGAGAAGGAAAAAAGAAGUUGACCCUUGAACAACAUUGAUGGGUUUGAACUCCAGGGAACUCUGGUAGUGGAAAAUCAUACAGAUUAUUAAGAUCUCUGUAAAUGAGCCAUCCAUCCAUUAAUUUUUGUUCUAAGGAGAAGGACAGUCUUACUGCACAUACUCCAUUAGGAAUUCUGGACUAAAUGUUGGAUCUAUAUAAGCUGCAUUUAAGCCUUGGCCUAUAGCCAAGUCAAGGUCAAUGAUUAAAGAUUUUCUUAAACUUCAGGAAGACAGACAGAAAUUUCCUUCUGAAUUAAGGAUUUUGUUAAUGCUUAUUUAAUCAAAUAGCUCACUUAAUUGUUAAUGCCUGAGAGGGAAAUGUUGUUAAAAGCAGCUGAGUGCAAAAAGCCAGUACAGGAUUUUAAAUAGCAUAGCUGUUCAUAAUUCAAAUAAAUGUUCUUGAAAAGUAUGAUAUGUACUAUGUAAUGCUGUUUCAGAAACCUUUCCAUUAAGGGUACAUGAGGCAGAGAUUUUAACUUGUAAAGGAAAUAUAGAAGAGGCAAUAAAUGACUGAAAUUUGACUUUAGAGAAAAUGUUUUUUUUCUCUUUUUUAAAUGCUGAGUGAACACCUACACUUAGAAAGGAGGCUUCUCUUUAAAAUAGAUAUACAGAAAGAAAAAACGGAAUUGGAAAUUGACUUUUAAAACAUAUGGCUGAGCACUUUAAAGGAAUAGUGGAGAUUAAACAAACAAAAUCAGAACAAAUUUGUGACUUAUCAGACAAGAUAAUUGGUCUCCAAAUAAAGAGACUACA